GUCCAUGCGUAAACGAUGAGUGCUAAGUGUUGGAGGGUUCCGCCUUUCAGUGCUGCAGCUAACGCAUUAAGCACUCCGCUGGGGAGUACGACCGCAAGGUUGAAACUCAAAGGAAUUGACGGGGGCCCGCACAAGCGGUGGAGCAUGUGGUUUAAUUCGAAGCUACGCGAAGAACCUUACCAAGUCUUGACAUCUUCUGCCAAUCUUAGAGAUAAGACGUUCCCUUCGGGGACAGAAUGACAGGUGGUGCAUGGUUGUCGUCAGCUCGUGUCGUGAGAUGUUGGGUUAAGUCCCGCAACGAGCGCAACCCUUAUUAUCAGUUGCCAGCAUUCAGUUGGGCACUCUGGUGAGACUGCCGGUGACAAACCGGAGGAAGGUGGGGAUGACGUCAAAUCAUCAUGCCCCUUAUGACCUGGGCUACACACGUGCUACAAUGGACGGUACAACGAGUCGCGAAGUCGUGAGGCUAAGCUAAUCUCUUAAAGCCGUUCUCAGUUCGGAUUGUAGGCUGCAACUCGCCUACAUGAAGUUGGAAUCGCUAGUAAUCGCGGAUCAGCAUGCCGCGGUGAAUACGUUCCCGGGCCUUGUACACACCGCCCGUCACACCAUGAGAGUUUGUAACACCCAAAGCCGGUGAGAUAACCUUCGGGAGUCAGCCGUCUAAGGUGGGACAGAUGAUUAGGGUGAAGUCGUAACAAGGUAACCA
rnacentral:rRNA from 1 species